AUAUCAAUAAGCGGAGGAAAAGAAACCAACAGGGAUUGCCCCUAGUAACGGCGAGUGAAGCGGCAACAGCUCAAAUUUGAAAUCUGGCCCCAGGCCCGAGUUGUAAUUUGCAGAGGAUGCUUUUGGCAAAGCGCUUACCGAGUCCCCUGGAACGGGGCGCCACAGAGGGUGAGAGCCCCGUAUGGUAUGACGCCGAGCCUUUGUAAAGCUCCUUCGACGAGUCGAGUAGUUUGGGAAUGCUGCUCUAAAUGGGAGGUAAAUUUCUUCUAAAGCUAAAUACCGGCCAGAGACCGAUAGCGCACAAGUAGAGUGAUCGAAAGAUGAAAAGCACUUUGAAAAGAGGGUUAAAUAGCACGUGAAAUUGUUGAAAGGGAAGCGCUCGUGACCAGACUUGCGCCGGGCGGAUCAUCCAGCGUUCUCGCUGGUGCACUCCGCCCGGCUCAGGCCAGCAUCGGUUUUCGCCGGGGGACAAAAGCUUCGGGAACGUGGCUCCCUUCGGGGAGUGUUAUAGCCCGUCGUUUAAUACCCCGGCGGGGACCGAGGACCGCGCUUCGGCAAGGAUGCUGGCGUAAUGGUCAUCAGCGACCCGUCUUGAAACACGGACCGAGGAGUCAAGCAUUAGUGCGAGUGUUUGGGUGUAAAACCCGCACGCGUAAUGAAAGUGAACGUAGGUGAGAGCUUCGGCGCAUCAUCGACCGAUCCUGAUGUUUUCGGAUGGAUUUGAGUAGGAGCAUUAACGCUUGGACCCGAAAGAUGGUGAACUAUACUUGAAUAGGGUGAAGCCAGAGGAAACUCUGGUGGAGGCUCGCAGCGGUUCUGACGUGCAAAUCGAUCGUCAAAUUUGAGUAUAGGGCGAA
rnacentral:rRNA from 1 species